rnacentral:misc_RNA from 1 species
AAGGAGUCUAACAUCUCUGCGAGUAUUUGGGUGUCAAACCCGAGUGCGCAAUGAAAGUGAACGUCUGAGCCACGCGCAAGCUGCAGCUUCGACCUGUCUGGAUCUUUAGUGAUGGAUUUGAGUAAGAGCAUAUAUGUUGGGACCCGAAAGAUGGUGAACUAUGCCUGAAAAGGGCGAAGCCAGAGGAAACUCUGGUGGAGGCUCGUAGCGAUUCUGACGUGCAAAUCGAUCGUCAAAUUUGGGUAUAGGGGCGAAAGACUAAUCGAACCAUCUAGUAGCUGGUUCCUGC